rnacentral:rRNA from 1 species
CCUGGGGAGUACGGCCGCAAGGUUAAAACUCAAAUGAAUUGACGGGGGCCCGCACAAGCGGUGGAGCAUGUGGUUUAAUUCGAUGCAACGCGAAGAACCUUACCUACUCUUGACAUCCAGAGAACUUAGCAGAGAUGCUUUGGUGCCUUCGGGAACUCUGAGACAGGUGCUGCAUGGCUGUCGUCAGCUCGUGUUGUGAAAUGUUGGGUUAAGUCCCGCAACGAGCGCAACCCUUAUCCUUUGUUGCCAGCGGUCUGGCCGGGAAC